UUUUUUUUUCUUUAAACUAUUAUAUUCUUAUCAUGUCAGCACUAUCCAGAUAGUGUGGUGGACUCAAUAGCUGAGUUUCUCCUACUCUCAUGCUCUUAAUUACCAUCGGCAGCUCAAUAUGUAAGUCUCCUUGCGCUUUCAAUAGAUCCCGGCUCCUACUACACAGAUAGUGAUCAGGGUCACUGGUACCUUCUUCCUCCUCAUCACAAGGCUCAAAAUUCAGCUCAUCCUGAAGCCCUCCUCUGUACUCCUCCCCCACCACGAGGCAGGGGCCAACACUUAUCACUUCCUCAUCAACCCGGCCUCUUGCCUCUGCCCCCACCUCCCCACGGCUAUUGCCACUGCUUGCUCCAUUCAAGACUUUAUUACUGCCCCUCAUGAUUAGAAUUCAAUCCCUGCUUCCUGACACAUAGUACAGGGCUCUGCUUGCAAUCUCUCCACCUUCCAGGCCAUGCUAUGCACUGCUGCAGAAAGCAUCUUCCUACAGAUAAGAGUCCAAGCAGCUCAGUUGAGUAUUUUGGGCUCCCUACAAUGUCUCAACCUAUUUCUGCAGGCUCAUUGCGCUCCUAGGCAGCUCACAUCCAAACACGAGUAUUGCAGAAUACACCUGGCAUGCCCCCACAUUUGUGACUUUACCCCUGCUAUUUCACUAUCUAGAUGUUAUUUAUCCCACUUAGGUUUGUCGAAAUCCUGUUUGUCUUCCAAAGUUCUGAUCACAUGCACCAUCUUCCAAUAAGCCUUCUCCUGUCUCCCACAUUCUCUUCUCACCUGCCCACCACUCCUGUCAUUAAUGCUUUCAUAGUAUUUAUCAUGUUUCUUAAUAGGGCUCAACAUAAGUGUCAUCUCUUCUGAAAGCCUUGGCCCUCCCAGCCUCUGCUCCCCUCCUAGACUUUCCUCUACUUUUUAGAGUCCUUUUUUUCAUACCUUUAUUAUUGUAUUCAAUACACAGUUUGGGACUAUUUGGGAACAUCUCUUCUCUGUUAGAUAAUAGGCUCCUUGCCAUGACAUACCUAGAAUACCUUUUGUGAACAUCAACAUAAAUACACAUACAUCAAUAUGCAUACAUCAAUAUAGCUAUUCCCAUUUAUAGUUAUACUUUGUGUUCAACUUUCGAGCAUACAUAUCCAAAGCCAAAAAAAUGCAUCUUAUUGAUAUGAUUAUAAUAGAAAUAUAAUUAAAAUGUGCCUAUGGUAAUGAUAAAUUUUAUGCUAUCAAACUGAUGAUCUAUUUGCUGUAAUUCUUCAUUUUUGAAUCUAGCCAAAGGUGUGUGGCAUGUGUCACAGAACCAUGGAGAAUACAUAAAAUUGUCAAGCAAUAGAAAGCCUCGAAUCCUCCAUUAAAGGCAUUUCCUAAGCCUCAAAAAGUUUUCCUUACUACAUUUCCUCAUAGGCACAUGGGCUAUCAAGAAAGCUUCACAGUAAAUAAAUUCUACCAUUUCUUCAGUAAAUACCCCUCGGGAAAACUACUUAAUUAGCAUAUACAACAAUUAAUAUAUUUAGUUUCUCCAGACGAAUAGUAAAAACAACAUGAAGAAUUAAGAAUUUAAAAUAUAAACAAAAUAUACUCAAGCACUGGGCAUAAAAAUUCAUAUUUCCAUCAUAAGAUUUCUUCCAUACUACCACUAACGUUUUUUUUUUUUUUUUGGCCUCCCCCACAGCAUUGACAACUCCAGAUCCUUAACUGCUGGGCCAUCAGGGAAUUCCCCACUGCCGUAUUUUUAGAGGCACAGAUUAUAGAACUUAAAUCUAGCCGUUCAACUCCAUGGUAAAUAAUAGCAGAAAUAUUACGAUAUUCAUAAUGAAAGUCAAUUUGAAAUUCUAAAAUGAUAAACACCUAAGGAAAAAUGAUUACUGUUAAUGUGAAGAUAUAUAAAAGAAAGAAGACUAGACUCUGUUUUACAUUUUAGGCUAGAAUUAUCAGAAGAAAUAUGAGGGGACAUGUAUGUAGCUUAAGCAAAAUGGUUUUAAACACAAAGAAUUUUUAAUGUCAUCAUGAGGUUUAAGUGAGUCUGCAGAUGAAUGUGCUGCUAUAGAAAUGCUUCUGGGAAUGUCCAUAUGUUUGAUUAUAAUGUUCAUUACUUUUAAACUCUAAUUAAAAUAAACUUCCGACCCCAGUCCUUACAGGAGACUGAAGCAAGCAAACAAAGAUAGAGAAACACAGAUUUGUUUAUGUUGGACACUUUUGAUAUGGAGUAUAUUUUAAAUCAGUCAUAUUUGGACAUGGCUUUAUAGUUUAACAAAAUAACUGAGUAUAAGGGAAAAUUCAAUAAAUAACUCCAAAGUAUAAGUUUUAAAAAUACAAAAUUUUGAAUUUGUUAAUGUCAGUUUCCUAUUAGAGUUGAAAGAUCUGAAAUACAUAAGUUGGGAACACUAUGAGAAGACUUUAAAAAAAGGGAAAUGAAAGAAGAGACAAUUGAAUUUUGCCACACACGUGGUAAAAAGCAACAACUGAGCUAAUUAUAGCCUUUCCCCCUAAAUGUGAUUAUCCCUAAGGCUAGUGAAUAAUGAACCUGAUUUCAUUUCAGCCAACUAGCCUUCUAUUUUCCUUGAAACAAGAUAGUUGGGUGAGCUAGAUCCGUAGUGUUGGAAGCCUACUUUUCAAAGUAGAUAUUCCAAAAUGAUUCCAGAUUUGAAGAUGACAAAGUUUCUUGAUAUUUUUCACAUGUUUUCUGAGGGCUAAAUAAACAUUUCCAAGUCAACUCACUCUUUGAUUAUUCUUCCCUCUACAUUUCUUCCAAAACCCUAUUGUAUUUGGAAAUUAAAAGAUUACGAUAUGCUUCUGUGAAGAAAUGGAAAGCCAAGAACAACAAACUGUCUUUAUUCCCACGUAAAAUAUACUUGGCAUGAACCAUAUGUUUACACAGUAAUUUAUUUACAUAGUAAAGGAAAUAUAUCCACUGUGUGUAAGCAAUAAUGAUGCAAUUUCAUCAAGAAUGCAUCACUUAUAUCCCCUGGGAGGGAAAAGGUUGUAACAAAUUGUUCUUUGAAUGUGAUGCCUUUGCAAGUCAUAAUUCUGAGAUCAAAUAGGUAUUUUGGAAAGAUGACACUUUGAUAGGGAUGGAGUAGGCACAGGUAGUUGUAGAAGUCCUGAUAGAGGACCAUAGUUAAAGAGGGAAACUUAGGCAACAUUGGGAGAUCACUGAAAGUUAACAACUGCUCAAAAAAGCCAUCAGAACAAAGCAGGCUUGCUUGACUAGGGGAAGUGUGAGAACUGCCUCAGGUCACUGGCUGGGGGAUGGGAUGAGGCCUGCAUUCAGAUUAAGACCAAUGGCAGGAGUUUGAGGACUGCCCUUCUGCUAAUUUGAAUACACACCUUACCUGUUACCAGGAAGGAGUUAGUACUCCCAGAAAGGAAGAGGCAGUCUUUUCCGAUCCCACCCUGGGAUGAUAAAACAGCAGCCCACUGGAUCCUCAGGGCAGAGCCUUCUUGCCUGCCUGCUUGCAUCUCUCACAAGCGUCUUAUAUUAAUAAAUCUAUUUCUUGCCUAUCACUUUGUCUCUCACUGAAUUCCUUCUGUGCAGAGACAUGAAGAACCUAAACAUCAGUGAGUCCAGACACAGGGUGAGUGAUUCUAAUUUAAAACUGUGGGAGAAUGGCUCACAUCGUCAGUGUUGGAAAAUGAGACACAUGAACAUGGGGACAUCUCGACAAGGCUCUUUACUUCUGCAGAAGGGCGCGGAUACUCAAAAAGCACACUCAAAGAAACAAAGACCCUCCCUAUUUACCCCUAACGCAGGUGGUAUACCUGUCCCCUUCCCAAUGGUCAGGUCAGGUCAGGGCACACAUUCUCCUCUGUUGGCUAACUGAAACAAACUGUCGCUGGGAGGAGAGGUAAAGAGGAGGGGGUCUCAGGAGGGUGUCUGAGCCGAAACCGGAGCAAAAUGGAGUAACCAAGAUUUCCUUUGAUAGACAAGACAUGUUAAUACUCGCAAAACUGGGUUCAAGUCCCAAUUUGGCUUUAGGCUGGGUUCAAGUCCGGGCACCUGGGUUCAAGUCCCAAUCUGUGUUCUGUCUAGGUUCAGGACAUUAGCACUGUCAGUUUCAACUUCAUUAUAAAUUUUCAGUAGAAAGAGGUUACAAACCGUGACACCAAAUGCCAAAUUUCAAAUCAUAAUAAUUUAUGUGAUGGAAGUAAUUCUCAAUGUGAGAUGGUCAUAUGAGAGCAGGUUACACAUGUGUAGGACCUUACAGGAUGCAAAUCACAUUUACAGGCACACUCAUUUGAUUCUCCAAUCCAUUGAGGCAGGUUUAUUAAUUCCAUUGUACAGAUGGACAAACUGAAUCUUCGAGAAGUUGGACAACUUGUCUAAAGUCACAAGCUUAACAAGUUUUUUGAUCAAAGGAAUCAAAACUGGGUUUUCAGAUUCCAAUGCCUUUAUAUUCUGCUAUCUCUGAAAGUAUAUCAACCAAAAUGGACACACUAGUCAUAAUAAUUUGGUAAUUUUAUUGGUGAAACAGAAUAGGUAGAAGUACUAAAGGGAAAGUAUUCAAGGAAGACAAAAAUGCCAUUUCCCACAGACUAUAAUCAUAAAUUUUGUAAAGUAACUAAUUGAUAGGAAGGGAAAAUUGCUCAUUCAAGAAAAUCAGUUCUCAAAAAUAGCUUUACUUAAGUCAUAGGUGUUCAUUCCUUCAUGAGAGUGCAUUUUGCUACUUUAGUUAAUAUUGAUUAUAGUAUUAUUAUAACAGUAAUAAAUAAUAGAACUUGAAAUGCUAAGUUCUCUUACUUAUCUAUAUUUUCUAACAAAUAUAUAUUGCUUCCCUAAGUACUUAUUUUAAAUAAACAUUAUUUUAAUGGCUUAUUUUUCAGAUUACUUUAGAUUGUGAUGGGCAGUUCAGAGUUGGCAAAUAUCUAAUAUAUUUUAUUUUAAAAUUAAUACAAUUCUAUGAGAAUUCAAACUCAGAUAUAUGAGACAAGGGACUAGGAAGUCCCAUAUUAGUUUUUAUCCAGAAGUAGCAUUUUCCAUAUUUGAAUAAACCCAUAAGUGCCUCAUAAGUUCUAGUGAUCUUUUUUUUUUUUUUCAUUUAAAAGAAGUAGACCAAUGCAACUGAGUUGAGAGAGAGAUAAUUUAAAAAACCACAGACAAAUACUAUACAGAAGAAAACCAAGAACACAAAACUGCAGAGGAAGAAAAACCAAGGUGAACAGGGUGGAGGGAAAAUCAGCAGAACACCCCCUUCCCUGGGGCUUCUCACUCCCUCAGGCAGAGUUAUUUUCUCCUUCUCUGCACUCCUACUAUCUUCUUUUGCAUGUCUUUAUAGCACGUAUCACAUCCCCCUUAUCUCUUCGCCUGCUUGAGAUUCUCACUUCCUCUCUGAGAGCCUCUUUUCUAGCCCUAUCUCCUAGUCUCUUACUUGAGCUAAAAGAUGCUUAACUAAACACUUUCAGAUGGAUGGAAGGAUUGAAUUGAAUUGAAAAAUCACCAAUUACACUCCAUUCUUAGAGGUCAACAAUUCUACAUUCAUGAUGUCUAGUUAAGUAAAAAGAAGCAAUUUACAAAAAAAAAUUACCAUAAUCACUUGGGGGGGUAUUAAAUACUGUAUAUAUAUACACUUCUGGAAGAAAAUAAAUAUGUUAACAUUAGUAGAAGUAUAUUUGGCAUCUAUUUGAAUAAAUAAAUGUAUUCAUAAUACAUACAAUUGAUGAAAUUGAUCAUGUAAAUAUCUUCUGUGACACAAAUGGCAUAUAGUUUGUUUUUCUGCUAUGCAUCAAAAAAUCAAAUAAAUAUUAAAAAACAUAAACAACUUUUCCCAGAGAGGAUGCCACGAUCCUAGUUAUUCUUAGCUUUUCCAAAUCGCAUUUGUUUUGCCACCACAAAGCUGUUAAUUAAAGCAGCUAUAAUGCAAAACUACUGAGUCUGUUAAUUAUUUUCCUUAUUCCUUCUUCCCUCCCUCACCUCGUUUUAUUCUUAAUUCACACUGCAUAUAAACAGCAAUUAAAGUACAAAUCAGACUGUUACUUGCACAUAUACAUUUCAUUAUUAUACCCUACCUGUACUCUUAAAUUCACCAGCUUUUUAUAGAAGAUUUAGUCAACAAUUUCCUCUAAUCAAGCAAGAAAACUAAUAAGAGUACAUAAAGAUUAAAAUAAAAAUACACUUUAUGAAGCAUUUUAAAACAGUUUUAAAGAUUUUUUUUUACUUGGAAGAUAUUGAUACAUUUAGUAGCUGGAAUGGUUGUAGAAAAAUACAACUAUGGACAACAUCAAAAUGUAUCUCUUUUGGAGUUCCCGUCGUGGCGCAGUGGUUAACGAAUCCGACUAGGAACCAUGAGGUUGCGGGUUCGGUCCCUGCCCUUGCUCAGUGGGUUAACGAUCCGGCGUUGCUGUGAGCUGUGGUGUAGGUUGCAGACGCGGCUCGGAUCCCGUGUUGCUGUGGCCCUGGCGUAGGCCGGUGGCUACAGCUC
ensembl:lncRNA